UCUAGGCUGCAGUUUGCCGAGUCACGUGU
rnacentral:piRNA from 1 species